rnacentral:rRNA from 1 species
GAUGAACGCUGGCGGCGUGCCUAAUACAUGCAAGUCGAGCGAAGCGGGGACGGGCGCGUAACACGUGGAUAACUUCCUAUAAGACUGGUAUAACUUCGGGACCCCGGGGCUAAAGCGUAUUCUUAAAGAUGGAUGCUGGGUGCAUUAGCUAGUUGGUAAGGUAACGGCCUACCAAGGCAACGAUGCAUAGGCGACCUGAGAGGGUGGUCAGCCACACUGGAACUGAGACACGGUCCAGACUCCUACGGGAGGCAGCAGUAGAGAAUCUUCCGCAAGGGGCGAAGGCCUGGCGGAGCAACGCCGCGUGAGUGAAAAAGGUCUUCGGAUCGUAAAACUCUGUUAUUAGGGAAGCGGUACCUAAUCAGAAAGCCACGGCUAACUACGUGCCAGCAGCCGCGGUAAUUC